UACUUCGCCGAAGAAUAAUAAACACAUGAGAUUGUCAUGAACCCUAAAAGUAUUUCUAAAAACUGCUCCAUUUAAUAGGCUUUUAGAAACAUGCAAAAAAAGUACAGACAGUCAAAGACAGAUUUUAUUUUAGUAUCCAAUAGUAUGAAUCACCAACAGUGUUUGGGGAUAACUUUUUCCUUGAAAUCUAUCCUUAGGCAUAGUUGUGAAAUAAAAUAAAAUAAUUAUUAAGAAAGGGAUAGCGACAAAAUGAUUAUUUCUGAAGUAAGGUAGAAAAUCUAGAAAAAGGAAAUAGAUAAAAACAGUCAACGAUGGUACUUCAUCCACAUAUGUCCUCGGGGCCAGGAGGUGGACGACAAAUUGUUCAACCACAGCAACGCACGGACGUACACGAUGUUUGACAACAUGCAUUAUGUUGCAGCUGCAAUGAUGGCUAACGCAAUCAUUGGGAAGUUGUUUUGUUAUUAGUAAUAUAUAUUGUUAUUUUA
rnacentral:misc_RNA from 1 species